ACCUUCUCGGAAGUUUUUAUGUGAGGAUUUUGAAAAAAAAAAUUAGCCGUUUUUUUUUAAUCAGCCGAAUAUAUAAACGAUAG